UCUAAUAUCGAUGACAGUCUUGUUAUUGUUAUGAUUUGAUUAAGCAAAAAUAUAUUUAUUACUUGCAUUGCGAAUUUUGAGCAGUAACCUUUGAAAAUGAGCCAAUUCUCGCUCUUCAAUGGCAACGAUGAGCACGACCACGAAACAGAGCAGAAAUACGCACACCUUAUGAAUCUGGGAAAUGCGAAUCACUCGGUGUCGGAAAACAGUUCUGGAAAAGCCAGUCGCUGCAAGUGGACCGCCGCAGAGGUGGAGACCUUUGUGGGAAUCAUCCACCAACUGAAACUGCAAGCUGCACUGCGAAGGGCGAGGAGCAAUGCAAAGGUGUUUCGGAUGGUGUCCAGGGAAAUGGCCAGACGCCACUGCCCCAAGAGUCCAAAGCAUCUGAGAGCGAAGUUCCAUCAGAUGCGGCGUCAGUAUGCAAGGGCGCGGAAUGGCGGCGAGCCGUUCGAGCAUUUUGAGGCGGUCCACGACCUGAUGCAGGGAGAAGAUGUAUCUGAUCUGGAUGAUGAGGUGCUAGAGAGUGACACCGAUGCGGAGGCCGACGAUGACCAGUCCGGUAUGAUCUCGGAAACCGAAGGAGACGAUGCUUUGGAUGCCUCUGGCUCUUCCAUUAACGUCGUUGCCCGCUGCAAGUGGGCAGAGGGCGAAGUGGACCUCCUCCUCGAACUGAUCCACACUCUUGGUCUUCGGGCUGCUUUGCUGCAAAAGCGCAAUGCCAAGGUCUUCAAGCUGCUGGCCAAAGAGAUGGGAAAACGCAACUGCCACAAAGGUGCGGAGAAGCUGCGCAUCAAGUUCCAGCAGCUGCGGCGAUUGUACAACAAGGCCAAGAACGGUACGGGGGAAACGUUCGAACACUUUGAAGCGAUGCGACUGGUCCUGGAUCCCACCGAUGAGGAGGCGGCCGCAGAGGCUGAAGCGGAAGCCCAUCUUAGCAGCGCAAGCGAUAGUGAUUUUAACGACAGCGAUGAGGACGACGGUGAUGCAUCACAGAGAAGCGGAGCGCACUUUUGGACAGACGAAGAGGUCGAUUCGUUUCUACUCAUUAUUCGGGACAAUGGUUUCUUCCGCGCCUUGGAUGGUUCCCGGAAGCGCAACUUCCAGACGCUGGUGCACAUUUCCAACAUCUUGGCUAAGCAGGCCAUCAAACGCACUCCCCACCAGCUGCGCAAUAAGCUGAGACUCCUCUGCAAGCGUCACCGAGAGGCCAAGGAGCACGGGCUAGACAAUGUACGCAUUCUGCCUCGCCACUUUGAGCUCUUCGAUGAUCUGAUUCAGGCACCGCGGGAAAACAAGAAAAGUGCUAUUCCCAGGCCCAUUCGUAGCAGCCAACCGUCCUUUCCCAAGCCUCCAGGCAAAACAAGCGUUCCGCUGGCGAGUGACAGCGAAGACUCCAGCUCCACCUGCGAUCUCCUAAGAGCGGCGGCCGAUAGCGAGGACUACGAGGACGCCAUACAGAUGGAGGCUGAACCUACGCCCAUUGAAGCACUCACUGCCAUUAUGGAAGGUCAAAAGCAGUUGCUUGCGCAGAUCAAAACCACCAACGAGAGCUUCCUGCGGCAGCACCGCGAGCAGCAGCAUCAAUUUCUGGAACAAGUAUCCGACCUAAUGCGUCGAGAUCGAGAGGAGACCCUACGCAGGAUCAGUGAAAUGCUGCAACCGAAGUAGAAGAAAUAGCCAGCUCAAGCUUCUAAAACUUUUAUUGAAUUGAAUUCGAAGUUAUUGCAAAAAGUUGUCAUUAUUUAUAUAUAUUAUAUUUGAUGGACGAGAUGGAGGGGGUAGGGGAGGAAGCUGGGCUGAGAUUUCGCGAUGGUCGAUGAGCGGAUCGAUGCGAUGCGAUGGCCCCCGUUGCUGGGAUUGGAUGUGGCUUGUGGCUGCUGUGACGACGAUGCUGCUGCUGUGGGAAAGAGACGCGACUCCCAGUGGCCAGAGGACCACUAACACCAGAUAUACUCAAAUGGUAUAUAGUUCAUAUAUCGGAGGAGUAUAUCAUUCUGGCCGCACCGUUACAGUUCGAAAUUCACGUUGUUCGUUUAUUUAGAAUUCUCAAAUAUACAACAAAAGCUUACACUUUCAA